rnacentral:rRNA from 1 species
UAAGCGACUAAGCGUACACGGUGGAUGCCCUGGCAGUCAGAGGCGAUGAAGGACGUGCUAAUCUGCGAUAAGCGUCGGUAAGGUGAUAUGAACCGUUAUAACCGGCGAUUUCCGAAUGGGGAAACCCAGUGUGUUUCGACACACUAUCAUUAACUGAAUCCAUAGGUUAAUGAGGCGAACCGGGGGAACUGAAACAUCUAAGUACCCCGAGGAAAAGAAAUCAACCGAGAUUCCCCCAGUAGCGGCGAGCGAACGGGGAGCAGCCCAGAGCCUGAAUCAGUGUGUGUGUUAGUGGAAGCGUCUGGAAAGGCGCGCGAUACAGGGUGACAGCCCCGUACACAAAAAUGCACAUGCUGUGAGCUCGAUGAGUAGGGCGGGACACGUGGUAUCCUGUCUGAAUAUGGGGGGACCAUCCUCCAAGGCUAAAUACUCCUGACUGACCGAUAGUGAACCAGUACCGUGAGGGAAAGGCGAAAAGAACCCCGGCGAGGGGAGUGAAAAAGAACCUGAAACCGUGUACGUACAAGCAGUGGGAGCACGCUUAGGCGUGUGACUGCGUACCUUUUGUAUAAUGGGUCAGCGACUUAUAUUCUGUAGCAAGGUUAACCGAAUAGGGGAGCCGAAGGGAAACCGAGUCUUAACUGGGCGUUAAGUUGCAGGGUAUAGACCCGAAACCCGGUGAUCUAGCCAUGGGCAGGUUGAAGGUUGGGUAACACUAACUGGAGGACCGAACCGACUAAUGUUGAAAAAUUAGCGGAUGACUUGUGGCUGGGGGUGAAAGGCCAAUCAAACCGGGAGAUAGCUGGUUCUCCCCGAAAGCUAUUUAGGUAGCGCCUCGUGAAUUCAUCUCCGGGGGUAGAGCACUGUUUCGGCAAGGGGGUCAUCCCGACUUACCAACCCGAUGCAAACUGCGAAUACCGGAGAAUGUUAUCACGGGAGACACACGGCGGGUGCUAACGUCCGUCGUGAAGAGGGAAACAACCCAGACCGCCAGCUAAGGUCCCAAAGUCAUGGUUAAGUGGGAAACGAUGUGGGAAGGCCCAGACAGCCAGGAUGUUGGCUUAGAAGCAGCCAUCAUUUAAAGAAAGCGUAAUAGCUCACUGGUCGAGUCGGCCUGCGCGGAAGAUGUAACGGGGCUAAACCAUGCACCGAAGCUGCGGCAGCGACGCUGAUGCGUUGUUGGGUAGGGGAGCGUUCUGUAAGCCUGCGAAGGUGUGCUGUGAGGCAUGCUGGAGGUAUCAGAAGUGCGAAUGCUGACAUAAGUAACGAUAAAGCGGGUGAAAAGCCCGCUCGCCGGAAGACCAAGGGUUCCUGUCCAACGUUAAUCGGGGCAGGGUGAGUCGACCCCUAAGGCGAGGCCGAAAGGCGUAGUCGAUGGGAAACAGGUUAAUAUUCCUGUACUUGGUGUUACUGCGAAGGGGGGACGGAGAAGGCUAUGUUGGCCGGGCGACGGUUGUCCCGGUUUAAGCGUGUAGGCUGGUUUUCCAGGCAAAUCCGGAAAAUCAAGGCUGAGGCGUGAUGACGAGGCACUACGGUGCUGAAGCAACAAAUGCCCUGCUUCCAGGAAAAGCCUCUAAGCAUCAGGUAACAUCAAAUCGUACCCCAAACCGACACAGGUGGUCAGGUAGAGAAUACCAAGGCGCUUGAGAGAACUCGGGUGAAGGAACUAGGCAAAAUGGUGCCGUAACUUCGGGAGAAGGCACGCUGAUAUGUAGGUGAGGUCCCUCGCGGAUGGAGCUGAAAUCAGUCGAAGAUACCAGCUGGCUGCAACUGUUUAUUAAAAACACAGCACUGUGCAAACACGAAAGUGGACGUAUACGGUGUGACGCCUGCCCGGUGCCGGAAGGUUAAUUGAUGGGGUUAGCGCAAGCGAAGCUCUUGAUCGAAGCCCCGGUAAACGGCGGCCGUAACUAUAACGGUCCUAAGGUAGCGAAAUUCCUUGUCGGGUAAGUUCCGACCUGCACGAAUGGCGUAAUGAUGGCCAGGCUGUCUCCACCCGAGACUCAGUGAAAUUGAACUCGCUGUGAAGAUGCAGUGUACCCGCGGCAAGACGGAAAGACCCCGUGAACCUUUACUAUAGCUUGACACUGAACAUUGAGCCUUGAUGUGUAGGAUAGGUGGGAGGCUUUGAAGUGUGGACGCCAGUCUGCAUGGAGCCGACCUUGAAAUACCACCCUUUAAUGUUUGAUGUUCUAACGUUGACCCGUAAUCCGGGUUGCGGACAGUGUCUGGUGGGUAGUUUGACUGGGGCGGUCUCCUCCUAAAGAGUAACGGAGGAGCACGAAGGUUGGCUAAUCCUGGUCGGACAUCAGGAGGUUAGUGCAAUGGCAUAAGCCAGCUUGACUGCGAGCGUGACGGCGCGAGCAGGUGCGAAAGCAGGUCAUAGUGAUCCGGUGGUUCUGAAUGGAAGGGCCAUCGCUCAACGGAUAAAAGGUACUCCGGGGAUAACAGGCUGAUACCGCCCAAGAGUUCAUAUCGACGGCGGUGUUUGGCACCUCGAUGUCGGCUCAUCACAUCCUGGGGCUGAAGUAGGUCCCAAGGGUAUGGCUGUUCGCCAUUUAAAGUGGUACGCGAGCUGGGUUUAGAACGUCGUGAGACAGUUCGGUCCCUAUCUGCCGUGGGCGCUGGAGAACUGAGGGGGGCUGCUCCUAGUACGAGAGGACCGGAGUGGACGCAUCACUGGUGUUCGGGUUGUCAUGCCAAUGGCACUGCCCGGUAGCUAAAUGCGGAAGAGAUAAGUGCUGAAAGCAUCUAAGCACGAAACUUGCCCCGAGAUGAGUUCUCCCUGACUCCUUGAGAGUCCUGAAGGAACGUUGAAGACGACGACGUUGAUAGGCCGGGUGUGUAAGCGCAGCGAUGCGUUGAGCU